UAAUUCUUUGUUUUGGUAUUUUUUUUUUCUCUUUUUGAAGGAAAAAGAGAGAAAUAAGAGAAAAGACGUCAUCACUUUGUAACAUAAGAUUUGUAACUAUGACGUCACUUUGAUUCUUUACUUUGUUCUACAUGCCGGCAGGGCUUACUAUUUUACAAUUCUAGCUAUUGAUCUAGAGAUCACUACAUCUAAUUGGUUAAAAGAUUUCUCCUGUCCUUUCACUACUUUUGAAUUAACACUAAUCAGUCAUAAUGGCGAGGUCAGCGAGUCAAGGAAGGAAGCCCAAGCAAAAUAAAAACAAGUUUAAGAAAAAGAAGAAAGGAAAGGGAGGACUGCCCAAGGAUGUUCCUCAUACUGAUCCCAAGGUGGAUGUAAGUGAGGAGCCAAGUAAGACAAGUGAAGCAAUGAAUGAGAAAAGUGAGUCAAAGGAGGACCCUCCUAAGCCUGUGGAAAUCAAAGAAGGUCCUGAUGAGUAGGAGAAAGUGGGAUCUUAUCAUAACCAAUUCUUUCUAAUGAUUGGGUUUUGUUCCUUUUUCGUAGGAUUAAAAUGGAUUUUUUAAUGAGUGAUCUUUACACUUCUAUGACUUAUUAUAUCCUAUUUAUUUAAAUAAAUUUAUAUCUAAUAGUAA
rnacentral:lncRNA from 1 species